rnacentral:rRNA from 1 species
UACAGAGGAGCCAAGCGUUGUCCGGAUUGACUGGGCGUAAAGCGCACGCAGGCGGUUGCGCGCGUGGGGUGGGAAAUCUGGCCGCUUAACGGCCAGGCGCCAUCCCAUACGGCGCGACUGGAGUGAUGCAGAGGUCGAUGGAAUUGCCGGUGUAGUGGUGAAAUGCGUAGAGAUCGGCAGGAACACCCAGGGGGAAACCAGUCGACUGGGCAUCUACUGACGCUGAGGUGCGAGAGCGUGGGGAGCGAACCGG